rnacentral:rRNA from 1 species
GACGAAGGGGGCUAGCGUUGUUCGGAAUUACUGGGCGUAAAGCGAGUGUAGGUGGUUGUCAUAGUCAGGUGUGAAAGCCUUGAGCUCAACUCAAGAAAUGCACUUGAUACUGGGCGACUAGAGGACCGGAGAGGAUAGUGGAAUUCCCAGUGUAGUGGUGAAAUACGUAGAGAUUGGGGAGAACACCAGUGGCGAAGGCGGCUAUCUGGACGGUUUCUGACACUAAGACUCGAAAGCGUGGGGAGCAAACAGG